rnacentral:rRNA from 1 species
CCUACGGGAGACAGCAGUGGGGGAUAUUGCACAAUGGGGGGAACCCUGAUGCAGCGACGCCGCGUGGGUGAAGGAGUGCUUCGGCAUGUAAAGCCCUAUCGGCAGGGAAGAAGCAAGACGGUACCUGACUAAGAAGCCCCGGCUCACUACGUGCCAGCAGCCGCGGUAAUACGUAGGGGGCGAGCGUUAUCCGGAUGCACUGGGUGUAAAGGGAGCGUAGACGGCCAUGCAAGCCAGGGGUGAAAGCCCGGGGCCCAACCCCGGGACUGCCCUUGGAACUGUGCGGCUAGAGUGCGGGAGGGGCAGGCGGAAUUCCUGGUGUAGCGGUGAAAUGCGUAGAUAUCAGGAGGAACACCGGCGGCGAAGGCGGCCUGCUGGACCGCGACUGACGUUGAGGCUCGAAAGCGUGGGGAGCGAACAGGAUUAGAUACCCUUGUAGUC